UCAAAUUGAAAUUCCACUUGAUGUCUUCAAUUGAAAAUUUGGUCUCCUCAUAGUCAAAAUUUUCAGCUACAAAACUAUUUUCUCUUUUAAUCAUUGAUCUUCCUUUUUUUUUUCUUUUCUGCUCCAGCUGCGUUUGUCCUUGGCUUUGAUAUUCUUUUCAAAAUUUCUCUAUUUUCCGGUUUGUAUGUGGCUUUGAUUCUCUUUUGUUUAAAGAUAAUUGAUUUAGAAUCUAAAUUAUGUGAUUUACAAUUUUCAUUUUGCCUCUGAUUUUAUAUUUUAUGCUUUAUUGUUUUUAGUUAAGUGUGUCUAAUUUUGAUAUUAAAUUUUCCCUCUUUCCCCGUUUUUCCUUUAUGGAUUCUGUCAUACAUGUGGUUAUUUUUAAAAAUGCCUCUUUAAAAAUUUUCAGCUUUAGUAGCAUGACUGCUCCCACAGCGGCUAUAGGAAAUUGCCACUCGGAGAAAAAUAAACUACCAAGGGAAGGGCUUUAAUGCAACCAAUGUGUUUGAUGAAGUUUCAAUGUAUUUGAUGAAAUUCUCCAAUGAAAGGAAGAUAGUUUCAACAAUUCGGUUGACCUCUUCUCUGCAAUCAAUCAAGCUUUUUACAUAUCAAUUGGCACUAAUUAGAUUAGUACAACUUGAUUUCUACUACUGAUGGCACUUUGAAUUCCCAUUUUGUUGAUUGAUGCGAAUCAGAUUGUUUGCAUGCUUAUAGGGAGAGAAAGUAUGAACUCGAAGGAGUUUCUAGAGUAGCAGAAAAAAAACUGGUCAUAAUCGGAAAAAAGGGGUAGGGGAGGCAAUCGAAGAAAAUGACAUAAACAACUGUUGCCAAGGUGGUGUUGACUUGAUAGAUGAAAAUUAAUUAGGUAAUGCAGAAUAGGGGUGAAAAGGAUGUAAAAGAAGUUUUGAGUUUAAAUAGCCUAAGGAGUAUAUGAUGAGUCCAACUAUGGAGAGCAUUAUUAGGUAUCAUCCAUGGAUUCAGUUGGUGUCAUAUAUAUAGUGAAACACCUAAACCAUCAUAUAAAUUGUAUAGGGUAUUGCUCAAAGUUAGUGGCGAGGCUCGUGCAGAAGAUCACGCACAAAAUAUUGACCCCAAUGUGAGAAGAGGAAUUGCUGGUAGAUGAAUGGCAUUUUAAAAAAAUUAUCUGCAUGUCCACCGUAUCCUUCCCGAGAUUAAACUUCUUAGGCUUAUUCAUAGUUCAGACAUAUUUGGUAUUCUGUUGCUAAGAAAAUAGCUUCUCGAAACAGCCUUAUAGCUUAAGGAAAGAACUUUAUCAGAAUAAAUCUAGCUAAUAUGUUAUUAUAUUUCGAGCGCACUAGUUAGUGACUUCUAUUAUGAAAGUAAACUACAAAAAGAGGCAGUACUAAACUACUAAUUGAUGAAUUGCUAAUAUAAGCUGUAGGAGAUUUACAUCUUAAGAUGCAGAUUCACAAACUAUUUAGUAAAAACUCGGCAUUGUUGUGCUAUGAUUAAUGGUGAAGAGAAAUUAGACUAUUCUAUCUACUUGACGGGAGUGAAAAGUGACUCAUCUGACCUUUUACGGAGUUUUUUUAUUUUAUUUUAUGUGCAUUGUACUACUUUAUUUAUAAUUUGAAAAUGCUGCUUAUGGAUACGUACUAUCAACAUUCAAUCUUUAAUUUUAAGCAUUACGCGCAUGAUUAAGAAUUAGAGAAUAACAACAUUCCUUGGACAAAUCAAAUAGCAAAAGGCAUAUUUUGUUACAUCACAGUAUGAUUUUACAGCUAAUUCAAUUAUCGAUAUUAAAUUCCACUUGCAGCAUUAGCUCUAAGAGGCAAAAAAAGUAUUACUUUGGAGUAGAGAAAGAUUUUCUUUGCUAAAGAAUAAAUAGGAUUUAUAGUUGAGUGUAACUCAUCUAGAAUUGGGGUCAUUUUUGUGAUUUUUUGCAUUCAAAAAACAUUUAGAUGGUUUUGCAUUUUUCUUCUUAAAGUGGUCCAUUGUAAUUACAUGCUGAAUUAUUUUUUUAUCCUUUAUAGGUGGUUUCAUUUUAUCUACACAACUGUAUUUUAUGGACUCGGAUGUCAUUAACAUCUUCCUAUAAUCUGGGAAGUGACACAUUGAUUCAUCCAGCAACAGCUUAAUUUGGUUGAGAAAGACAAAAUAAAGUUAUUUGUUGGACUGAAGUUUCAGGCCUAAUAUCCAAGGUAGGAAGCCCAAGAAGAUCAUGGAAGCUGAUAUCAGAAGUGAUAGAAGUGAUACAAUAGCCACUGCUUGGAUUCCAAUCAAGAGAAUGAUGCAGUCUGGAAAAAACGAUUUGUUCUUGGAGUUUUAUAAACCUAGCUAAACAUUUAUUUGUCUUUUCUUUUAUACAACAACAACAACGCAAUAGAAUUCCACUAAUGGGGUCAGGGGAGGGUAGAAUGUACGGAGACUUUAUCUCUACCCGAAAGGAUAGAGCGGCUGUUUCUUUUAUUUGAUAUAUUUAAGUUGUUCACAGAGGUGCAAGGAUAUGAAAUGUCUUGAAGUUUGCGAGUAA